CCCAGUUUUCAACUGGUUCUUAUUUUAUCAACCCCCGAAAGAGAUAAAAGACUUUGGUGGAAUUUCAACUGAGAAAUUGAAGUCCGACGAAAUGAGGCCAAACAUUUUGUCCGACGGGUUAACUAUUCUGCCCGCUCAUCGCCUUUUAAAGCAUUAAAAAAUUUCCUCUUCUCGAUUAGCAAAUAGUCUUUGCAUAAUGCCUAAUUCGGUGAAAUCAACAGCAAUUUUGGUCGCAGGGGUAAAUCAGUUACAAUGACCAUAUUAUUUGACUGGUACUUUAUUUUAUCGAACGCGGAUGGUUGAAAGGUAAAACUGACCCCAGCAAUGCAUCAUCUUAAAAAAGCGCAAUGCCAGAGGAGGAAA